UACUCAAAUUUACCACUCUGGGAACCAUACUUACAACCUGGAAGUUAUAAUUUUAGCAAUGGAGCUAAUUUUGCAAGUGCUAGAGCUGGUGUUCUUCAAGAAACUGAUCCAGAUACGCUUUACAGCCAAAAACAGCUAAGCUAUUUCAGGAGGUGGCCAAUUUACUGAGCAGCAACUCAGAGAUGCAAAGGCCAAAAAGAUACUAGCCGGUGCAAUAUAUUUGUCUAGCUUUGGAGGGAGGCGUUGACUACUUGUCUUUCAUCAACAAUACUCCUAAUCCUACCGAAUUACAACAACGGGAAUAUGUGAACAUGGUGAUUGGCAAUUUUACAGAUGUGAUUACGGAAAUAUAUGAAAUGGGAGGGAGGAAAUUUGCAUUUCAAAAUGUGGGACCUUUGGGUUGCCUACCAUUGUCGAAACAAUAUUACAAUCUUAGUGGUGGUGCUUGUGUAGAAGUCUUCCAAGCAAUCGCUAGUCUUCCAAAUAGUCUUCUAUCGAAUAUCACUACGGAGUUGCGAAGCCAGUUAUCAGGAUUCGGAUAUGUAAUUUUUUAUUUCUUUAAUUCACUUAAUGACAUGAUAAAUUAUCCUACAAAAUAUGGUACUUUAUAUAUAGGUCAUAAUUUUUUGUUCUUUAAAUGCUCAUACGUAACGUAGCUCUUACUCUUAAAUUUUGCUAUAAAUCUUGUCUAUUGUAGGCUUUAGUGCGUCAGAAAUAGCAUGUUGCGGCAUCGGUUAACAUCAUGGUUCCGAAUACAGCAGAGUAAAAGAAUAUGAACUAUGUAUUGAUCCUAAUGAGUAUGUGUUUUUCGAUGGAAGCCAUCAAUCUGAACUUGCUAAUUCUUUAUUAUUCAACUUCUUGUGGAAUGGAGGAUCAGAUUUUACAUGGCCUCUUAGCAUGAAGCAACUUUAUGAACUCAAUUCCACCACCGCCAUUGAGAUUUUAUCAUAGGAUAAACUUUUGUUUUCCAUGUAACCUAUCAAGUUAAAUCGGGUAGACUAUAGCCACAUAUCUUAUGCUUAGUCAAUAAUUUACCAUAAUUUAUAUCAAGGGAUAUUUUUGAGAUCA